CAAUAGCGUAUAUUAAUGUUGUUGCAGUUAAAAAGCUCGUAGUUGGAUUUCUUUUAUUUAGAAUGGGUUUGGAUGCUGUAUAUAACUUAUGUUAAAUACCAUCUUCCUUUUAAAUAAAAUUAUUUAUAAUAUUUUGUAUGUGUUAAAUUUUUAUUAUUUUUAUUAAUGAUUGAGAUGAUUCCAUACAUUUAAAAUAUUAUAUCGUUUACUGUGAAAAAAUCAAAGCGUUCAAAGCAGGCUUUAGGCUCUCUGAAUGUCUCAGCAUGGAAUAAUAAGAUAAGUUUUUUCCUUAUUUUGUUGGUUUGCAAGGAAGAAAAAUGAUUAACAGGGACAGUUGGGGGUAUUUGUAUUCGAAUGUCAGAGGUGAAAUUCUUGGAUUUUUCGAAGACAAACCACUGCGAAAGCAUUUACCAAGGAUGUUUUCAUUAA
rnacentral:rRNA from 1 species